AGUGAACGCUGGCGGUAGGCCUAACACAUGCAAGUCGAACGGCAGCACAGUAAGAGCUUGCUCUUACGGGUGGCGAGUGGCGGACGGGUGAGGAAUACAUCGGCAUCUACUUUUUCGUGGGUGAUAACGUAGGGAAACUUACGCUAAUACCGCAUACGACCUACGGGUGAAAGCAGGGGAUCUUCGGACCUUGCGCGAUUGAAUGAGCCGAUGUCGGAUUAGCUAGUUGGCGGGGUAAAGGCCCACCAAGGCGACGAUCCGUAGCUGGUCUGAGAGGAUGAUCAGCCACACUGGAACUGAGACACGGUCCAGACUCCUACGGGAGGCAGCAGUGGGGAAUAUUGGACAAUGGGCGCAAGCCUGAUCCAGCAAUACCGCGUGGGUGAAGAAGGCCUUCGGGUUGUAAAGCCCUUUUGUUGGGAAAGAAAAGAAGCAGGUUAAUACACCGAUGUUCUGACGGUACCCAAAGAAUAAGCAACGGCUAACUUCGUG
rnacentral:rRNA from 1 species